UGGGGAAUUUUGGACAAUGGGGGAAACCCUGAUCCAGCCAUCCCGCGUGUGCGAUGAAGGCCUUCGGGUUGUAAAGCACUUUUGGCAGGAAAGAAACGUCGCGGGUUAAUACCCCGCGAAACUGACGGUACCUGCAGAAUAAGCACCGGCUAACUACGUGCCAGCAGCCGCGGUAAUACGUAGGGUGCAAGCGUUAAUCGGAAUUACUGGGCGUAAAGCGUGCGCAGGCGGUUCGGAAAGAAAGAUGUGAAAUCCCAGAGCUUAACUUUUGGAACUGCAUUUUUAAACUACCGGGCUAGAGUGUGUCAGAGGGAGGUGGAAUUCCGCGUGUAGCAGUGAAAUGCGUAGAUAUGCGGAGGAACACCGAUGGCGAAGGCAGCCUCCUGGGAUAACACUGACGCUCAUGCACGAAAGCGUGGGGAGCAAAACAGGAUUAGAUACCCUGGUAGUCCACGCCCUAAACGAUGUCAACUAGCUGUUGGGGGCCUUCGGGCCUUGGUAGCGCAGCUAACGCGUGAAGUUGACCGCCUGGGGAGUACGGUCGCAAGAUUAAAAACUCAAAUGAAUU
rnacentral:rRNA from 1 species